ensembl:lincRNA
CUGCUGCACACGGUGCGGGACGCCAUGAGGGGACGUCCCGAAGGCCAUCAUGAGGGGACCCAAAGAGGAGACACUCCGAAGGGAGAAGCGUGAGAGGAGGCCGCAAGGGGACACCAUGAGGGGAACAUCAUCCGGGGAUGUCACGAGAGGACACCAUGAGGGCACCCGUGAAGGGAACCUCGUGAGGAGACGCCAUGGGGGAAACCACUGGGCACACUACGAGGGGAACAGGCUCAGGGGACGCCACGAGGGGUAAUAAGGAGGAGACCCCGCGAGGAAGGAAACAUCAACCGGGGAAGCCAGGAGGGAACAUCCUGAGGAGAUGCCGUGAGGAGAGUAUCAAGGGAACAGCCAUGGGCGGAACUUGAGGGGAACCGUGAGAGGACUCUGUGAGGGGAUAUCAGGGGGCUGUGCCCUGAGGGGACAUUGACAGGCACACAAAGUGCCCAACAGAGGCAUAGACAUGCCUCCUACUUUACCUAAUGCCUCAGCUCCCAGCUCCAUGUGGGAAGAAUAUGCCCACCCCUGGCCGAAUGAGGACCUCGCCUGGAAGCAGGAGCAUAGAUAUGGCGAGGACCCUGCUCAGGUGCCCAGUUCCUGCUGUGCGUUGCUCUUUUGUUUAAGACCCACAACUAGACAAAAGCAGCACAUAAAGACAAGACUGAAUCACACCGAUGAUGAUAUCAGCUGGCAUCCUGUGAUAAUAAGCGGGAGCCUCCAAAAGUGCAAUUUGAAGUCUCACCUGCGUGAUGCGGACCUUUUCCCAGUUGGGACUCCAUAUGGCUGUGGUCGAGGGACUUCCCAGCUCUGUCUAAGUCUGGAUGUUGGUCGGCCCCCUGUGGUGAUGUAUCUGCUGUUACUUUUCUCUAUUGUUUCUAUUUCUCUUCUUUUAAUGGCUGUAUAUUGAAAUUAAGCCAAAUAAUCUAGU